UUAUUUUGGCAGAUUAGUGCAAUGAAUUUAGAAUUCAUAUAUAUAAUUAUAUUAUAAAUAAUA
rnacentral:tRNA from 2 species